UGGAAUGUUCCCCCCUUUGUGACAGACCUCUACAUCCCCCAUGUUGCUGUAAGGACUGUGUUAAUGAGGUAUACUCCUCUCUACAUCCCCCAUGUUGCUGUAAGGACUGUGUUAAUGAGGUAUACUCCUCUCUACAUCCCCCAUGUUGCUGUAAGGACUGUGUUAAUGAGGUAUACUCCUCUCUACAUCCCCCAUGUUGCUGUAAGGACUGUGUUAAUGAGGUAUACUCCUCUCUACAUCCCCCAUGUUGCUGUAAGGACUGUGUUAAUGAGGUAUACUCCUCUCUACAUCCCCCAUGUUGCUGUAAGGACUGUGUUAAUGAGGUAUACUCCUCUCUACAUCCCCCAUGUUGCUGUAAGGACUGUGUUAAUGAGGUAUACUCCUCUCUACAUCCCCCAUGUUGCUGUAAGGACUGUGUUAAUGAGGUAUACUCCUCUCUACAUCCCCCAUGUUGCUGUAAGGACUGUGUUAAUGAGGUAUACUCCUCUCUACAUCCCCCAUGUUGCUGUAAGGACUGUGUUAAUGAGGUAUACUCCUCUCUACAUCCCCCAUGUUGCUGUAAGGACUGUGUUAAU